rnacentral:rRNA from 1 species
UGCAGUCGAGCGAGAACCAGGGCUUCGGUCCUGGGGACAGCGGCGAACGGGUGAGUAACACGUGGGUAACCUGCCCUCGGCACCGGGAUAGCCCGAGGAAACUCGGAUUAAUACCGGACAGCCUCACGAGCUUUCGGGCGAGUGAGAAAAGGUGGCUUCGGCUUCCGGCUGAGGAUGGGCCCGCGGCCGAUUAGCUUGUUGGUGGGGUAAUGGCUCACCAAGGCUCCGAUCGGUAGCUGGUCUGAGAGGACGAUCAGCCACACUGGGACUGAGACACGGCCCAGACUCCUACGGGAGGCAGCAGUGGGGAAUCUUGCGCAAUGGGCGAAAGCCUGACGCAGCGACGCCGCGUGCGGGAAGAAGGCCUUCGGGUUGUAAACCGCUUUCAGGAGGGACGAGGCCACUCAGGUUAAUAGCCGAGAGGGUGACGGUACCUCCAGAAGAAGCCCCGGCUAACUACGUGCCAGCAGCCGCGGUAAUACGUAGGGGGCUAGCGUUGUCCGGAUUUAUUGGGCGUAAAGAGCGCGUAGGCUGCCGAGUAAGUCCGACGUGAAAUCUGGAGGCUCAACCUCCAGCGGUCGUUGGAAACUACUCGGCUAGAGUCCGGA